CAAUCCGCGAGGGGCGGUCCGGAGGAAGCCACUAGCAAAACUGCGAGCCGACGGACAGAAACAUCAUAUAAGGCCUGGCCUUGAGGCGAGUCAGCACCAGAUGACGAAGCCACGUGAUCUAACGGGUAGGGUAAAUGAUGCGGUUGUGCAGUGAAAGUCCAUGCU
rnacentral:ncRNA from 1 species